CUGGGUUUCACCAUGUUGGCCAAGCUGGUCUCAAUCUCCUGACCUCAGAAGAGCCACUUGCCUCAGCCUCUCAAAGUGCGGGGAUUACAGGCAUAAACCAUCGCACCUGGCCAUGAGACAUUUUUUCUGUGUCUUCUUAUAAAACCCUUAUCUGACAUAUGAUGCAAAUAUAUUUUCACAGUUUGCAAUUUUCCUUCUGUGAUAUUAUUUUACCAUAGAAAAUGUAUCCUUUUUUAUUAUUCAUGCAUUUCCUUUAUGAUUUCUCCCUUAGAAGUCAUACUUAGAAAGCCUUUUGCCCCACAGGCCCAUGUAAGCUCACAUUGUGAUGACUUUAUUCCUUCCACAUAAGUCUGGAAUCCUUCUGCCCUGUGGUAUGAAAUACACUCCUGUCUUGCUUUUCCACACGUAUUUCCCCACAGACUUGAAAGGCACACUCCUGACCAUACAAACUUGGACAUGCUCCUCAGCCUGUUUCUCCACUGUCUGUGUUGGGCCAUUGAUUUUUCUGUUUAUUUCUCAGCCGCUAAUGGAUUGUUUGAAAGUUCAUAGUUAGUCCACGGUUCAUUUCAAUAUUCAGUAGGGCAAGUCAUCCUUUUCUAUGUUUUUUGUCAAAAUCGUAUUAAAAGUUUUGUGUAGAUGAACAACAAGCCUGGAAUCACGCGUGGGAAUGCCAGCCUCACAUGACAUAGAAGACAGAGAAGGAGGAGGCGGGCACAAGCGGGACCCCACAGCCAGCAGCCCCCUUCAGACUGCUGGGAGAUAGCCAAUGGUUUGCAGCAACCAAGUGAAAGCCCAGCUAGGACAGAGGCGACCAAGACCCUCGCUGCAGCCUCAACUGCCCUCCUUGGCGAGGUGGCUGCUCCCAUGCCUGGGGCAAAUACUUGGACUCAAGAGCAAGGAAUGUCCUGAAGACUUGCACAGGGAAAAGUAUUGGAGCUUGGAUUAAAUACAGAUUAACAACAACAACAACAACAACAAAAGCCAGGCUCAGAAAGACAGGGACAAAGAAACAGAAAGGAAGUUAAAAACAAACCACAGGACUGAGUUCCUUCAUUUCAGGGUCUAAUGAGGGCUGGCGGCCGUAGCCAUUCUAGAAUUCCCAACAUGGAGUUCCAAAUUUUCUAGAAACAAUGAAGAUCUAGUAUUUUCAAGCUUUUAUCAGCUUAUAUUACACUCUCAAUGAUAAUUUUUUUUAAUUCUUUAGUAGCACACCAACUAACACUAAAGUAAGCCACCUGGCCAAGCGUGGUGGCAUGUGCCUGUGGUCCCAGCUACUUGGGAGGCUGAGACGGGAGCAUCCCUUAAGCCCGGGAGGUCGACGCUGCAGUAAGCUGUGAUUGUACCACUGCACUGCAGCCUGGGUGACAGAGAGAUACCAUUUUAAAAAUAAAAAUAAAAAAAAUUAAGCUACUCAAUUUGCAGGAGAUCAUGCAAAGGUAGACAGAGCAGGCUGGUCACUGGAGCCCAGGGCAACCUGCAGACAGAUGCACCUGCAGACAGACUUUUGCUGGCAUCAUCUCCCACUCUUCCUCUGGCUGGUCCUUCCCCCUGAUGUUAUUUUUAAUGGUCCUGUGUAUUGUUGUGGAGGUCACCUCACAUGUUUUCCUAGUGUAGUGAGAAUACUAACCAAAGGCUGAAAAGAAAUCAAAUGCAAUGCCAGUUGAAAGACCUGAGACAGACACACAGGGAAUGCCUAGGUGCCUGACAGGGAGAGAAGCUCUCAGUGUGCCAUGGACCACGUGGAUGCUUAUCAAGGAGACCUGCUAACCCAGCUAAGAGAUAGUGGCCCAGCAGGUCUCAGAGGAAAGGACCCUUCUGGCCCCAGGUGGCUUGGGGUCCCUCAUCAGCACUCCCGUCACACCUCACAACCAGGGCCACCACACCAGGAAUUCGUGUGCAGAUUGUGUCUUGUGUCUGUCUUGAAGGCAUCUAAAGGCACUUGGAACUAUACCUUUUGUCUCCCCAACACUAACAAAAUCUGUGGCAUGUUGUAAAUACUUGGUGAAUGAAUUCCUAAAAGUUUGAAUCUGGACCUUCAAGGGAAGACAAUAUAUGGCUAUGCAGUAUUCAGAGGAUAACCAGGCAGGAAGAUCAUCAAGGUCUAGAAACACACCAAGAAGAGAGACUACGGCAUUUCAGUGCAGGCCAGGGGUGGCACUGGUCAAAGGCACAUGUGGAACUGUGUCAGGCUGAAUAGAUGAGCCGGCACCCAGCCAAGAAGCACCACUUCCGCCACGCCUCCUCUGGAAAUGGCACCCUACUUCAUUCAGGUGACAAAAUAUGGCCCUCACACUCGAAUACUGACCGUCACUCAAGGCACCUCUGUCCAGUUCUUCCAAAUCCAGAACAGUUUCAGCGAUAGCAGACAAAUCCACACAUAACAUGUUAUGUUUGAUUAUUCAGAGAUGAUCAUUUAAACAAUGAUGUCACUGCUAUCAAUGUAAGGCAUCCGGUGGAGAUGCCUGUCUUAGACACCCCUAAAUUUGACCAACCUUGACUUCCAAUUUGCCCGAGGGCAUGGAGGACAUUUGAGACAGCAUGCCCAAAAAAUCAAAGUGAAAUGUCCUCCACUAUUAUUCCAGGAACUUCUUCUGAAGCACCACUUGGGAAAUGCAGUCUCCUCCAAGGACAGCACUCACGCUGGUGUCAGCCACAUACUCCAGCUGUACCCGGGUUGAGGACCAGUGCAGACCCUCUCCCCUGCAUGCCACAUUCAGAAAGCAGAGGAGGCCUUGUGUAAGGUAUGACUACAAAAUAACACAACUCUCAGAAUCACUACAGAUACAGCAGCAUCCAAAGUCCUCAUCCCCCACGUUUUAAAUUCUCAAAAUAACCACUUAAAAUUUUGAAAUUGGCUGGGCAUGGUGGCUUAUGCCUGUAAUCCCAGCACUUUGGGAGGCCAAGGCAGGUAGAUCAUGAGAUCAAGAGAUCGAGACCAUCCUGGCCAACAUGGUGAAACCCUGUCUCUACUAAAAAUACAAAAAUUAGCUGGAUGUGGUGGCGUGCCCCUGUAGUCCCAGUUACUCGGAGGCUGAGGCAGAAUAGCUUGAACCCAGGAGGCAGAGGUUGCAGUGAGCCAACGUCGCACUACUGCACUCCAGUCUGGUGACAGAGCGAGAUUCCACCUCAAAAAAAAAAAUGCAAUGAACACAUGUCAUCCUGCCCAAGCCAAAAGAAAGAUGGGAGCUAUUUUCUCAGCUGGUAGCAUAAUUGUAUUAUUCGCAGAGGCACACUGAAGACUCAGUGUCAGCUCGGUGCAGUUAGAAAGAACGCUGACGGUGGCAAAGCUAAAUGGUCUUUGUCAGGCAUUCUCCAGCAUUCAAACGGGUAAUAUUCCAUAGCGUCUUUCACUAAGUCAGUUCAUGCAGGGAGGCAGAAGCAGGAGGCAGCGCUCUCAAAGUCACAGGCUCCAAGUGAGCCAUGCUGAAGUUUAGUUUCAUGGUCGAGGUUGCCAACUAGUAACUUUUAUUCAUACAAUUUUCAAGUUAAAAUCUUUAUUUCCAGCUAGGCGCGGUGGCUCAUGCCUGUAAUCCCAGCACUUUGGGAGGCCGAGGCAGGCAGAUCACGAGGUCAGGAGAUCAAGACCAUCCUGGCUAACGCGGUGAAUCCCCAUCUCUACUAAAAAUACAAAAACAAAAAAUUAGCCAGGUGUGGUGGCAGGCACCUGUAGUCCCAGCUACUCGGGAGGCUGAGGCAGGAGAAUGGUGUGAACCCGGGAGGCGGAGGUUGCAGUGAGCCGAGAUUGUGCCACUGCACUCCAGCUUGGGCCACAGAGCAAGGCUCCAUCUCAAAAAAAAAAAAAAAAUCCUCACUUCCACACUUUCCCACGGUGCCCUGGGAUCUUGGC
rnacentral:lncRNA from 1 species